GUUUCAGCAGAUGCUUUUAUUAUGUGAAGGAAACAGGAACGGCCCUUCUGUUCUGUCUCUGAAGACACAACCAAAGCACUGCAGCCGUGAUUGGCUCUUGCCAGGAGAGCUGCCCAGCACCACCCCCUGCAGCAGGGGAGGGGCGUUAAGGGGCGGUGGGCACAAACAUUGCAGAUGGCUGCAAGCCCCACAAUGGAGCAUUAAGAAAAACAAGUCAACAGAAAAAAGUUCUGCCAGCAAAUGCAAAGGUAGAUGCAUCUCCUCUUCAUCUAUUUAUAAACAAUCAUUAACAGGAGAGGAUUUUUUGGUCCACUGGACUGAAGAAAUGACACAGAGACAACCUAGUAGGAAACAUUUCAGGACAUCUUGAUUUACAGAGGAAAAGAGAGGCUUGCUGCAAAGAGCAGGGGAGGAUCAGAGGAGAACCUGCCAAACAAGGCAGGCAGCCCCUUCGGAAGCCACAGGCAUCAGAGCCAAUCCACGGGCAGCUCCGACACGCCUGCUGCAAAGUGCGCCCACUGCAGGCACGGCCUUCUCAAUGCCUACAGCUUUGCCAAGCUAAAGCAGAUUUCACCACCGAGCUACAAUGACCCCUUCAGCCCCACACAGGAAAACAUCCCUGCUGCCCAAACCACACAGGGAAGGGCUACACAUUUCAUAAGGAAGCUCAGAACCAGAGACCUCUGUGCAUCAUGGUGGAGUUGAAGGUUCUGUCAGCCCUCGGGGCCGCCGCGUUUUGGCCUGCACUGUAACGACCGGGAGAUGCGCCACGCAGGGUACGGAGCAGCGGGACGGGGCGGCAGCGACCGCAGAGGGCAGAACGGGCCGCACUUACAGUUAUGGGAGCAUUGCGGGAUGAUCACUGCGAUGCUGAAGUAAUCGAAGCAAAUCCCACAGCGCAGCAGAUCGUCCACGGCCUGCAACGAGAGCGGGCUGGGUGAGCGGCUGAGGCACCGCUGUGCCCGGCGGACAGCACGGCACGGUAUGAUGCGGUAUGGUGGUGCAGUACGGUAGCACGGUAUGGUACGGGUAUGGGUAUGGGUAUGGGUAUGGCAUGGCAUGGCACGGCACGAUAGCGCGGCACGAAACACAGACCCGGGCCUGGCCUCCAUCCCUGCAGCGGCUCCGCAGCAGCCUCCAC